UACGUAGGGUGCGAGCGUUAAUCGGAAUUACUGGGCGUAAAGCGUGCGCAGGCGGUUCUGAAAGUCAGCUGUGAAAGCCCCGGGCUUAACCUGGGAAUGGCGGUUGAAACUACAGGGCUUGAAUCUGGCAGAGGGGGGUGGAAUUCCACGUGUAGCGGUGAAAUGCGUAGAGAUGUGGAGGAACACCGAUGGCGAAGGCAGCCUCCUGGGCCAAUACUGACGCUCAUGCACGAAAGCGUGGGGAGCAAACAGG
rnacentral:rRNA from 1 species